GGGGGUGGGGCUGGGGGCGGAGCUCUCGCGGCGGCUCCGCCCCCGGCACCCCCGGGCCGACCCAUUGCUGUGCGCGGGGGGGGUGCUGGGCGCCGCGCCCUGCCUGCUGCUGGCCCUGCUGUGCGCCCAGCCCUGCCCCCCCGCCGCCUACGUGAGCACUGGGACGGACUGGGUUAUACUGGGAGGGCGUUUGGGGGUCAUUAUGGGGGGGUUUGGGGGUGACUGGGAUGGACUGGUUUAUACUGGGAUGGACUGGGAGGGGUUUGGGGGUCAUUAUGGGGGGGUUUGGGGUCAUUACUGGGGCACUGGUUUAUACUGGGAGGGACUGGGAGGGGUUUGGGUUCAUUACUGGGGCACUGGUUUAUACUGGGAUGGACUGGGAUGGACUGGGGGCUGCUGCUGGCCCUGCUGUGCGCCCAGCCCUGCCCCCCCGCCGCCUACGUGAGCACUGGGACGGACUGGGUUAUACUGGGUUAUACUGGGAGGGCGUUUGGGGGUCGGGGGGGGAAGAUUUGGGGUCGUUCGGGGGAGAUUUGGGGGGUUUGGGGGGGAUUUGGGGUCACUGGUUUAUACUGGGAUGGACUGGGAGGNGGUCGUUGGGCCAAGAUUUGGGGUCGUUCGGGGGAGAUUUGGGGGGUUUCGGGGGGAUUUGGGGUCACUGGUUUAUACUGGGAUGGACUGGGAGGGGUUUGGGGUCAUUACUGGGGCACUGGUUUAUACUGGGAUGGACUGGGAGGGGUUUGGGGGUCAUUAUGGGGGGGUUUGGGGGUGACUGGGAUGGACUGGGAUGGACUGGGAGGGACUGGGAUGGACUGGGACGGGUUUGGAGGUCAUUAUGGGGGGGUUUGGGUGUGACUGGGAUGGACUGGGAUGGACUGGGAGGGACUGGGAUGGACUGGGAUGAACUGGUUUGAACUGGGAGGGGUUUGGGGGUCAUUAUGGGGGGAUUUGGGGGGCACUGGUUUGAACUGGUUUGAACUGGUUUGAACUGGGAGCCCCCCCCAGGUUUUCAUCUUCCUGGGCGAGACCCUCCUGUCCCUGAACUGGGCCAUCGUGGCUGACAUCUUACUGGUGAGACUGGGAUGAACUGGGAGGGACUGGGAUGAACUGGGAUGGACUGGGAGGGACUGGGAUGAACUGGGAUGGACUGGGAGGGACUGGGAGGGAACUGGGAGGAACUGGGAGGGACUGGGAGGGAACUGGGAGUGAACUGGGAGGGAACUGGGAGG
rnacentral:lncRNA from 1 species